CUCCUCGCCGGCGAAGUUCAAUCUCGUCGCCGGCGUCCACGGAAUGGAUCGACGAUGAACCUCCGCUCCUCUUCUUGGUUUUAGUUCAUCUGAUUGUGCAUCCUCAGUGAAGGCUUUAAACCCUAGCCGAUGUUGUCUGGAUGGAGGCAGACUGGAGUUGUAGCGCGGACUGCUCGGCGCAGUGGUUCCGUCAGGCGGAGUAGGAUAUAGGAAUAAUGGAUUUACUUUUGGCAUGCCCGACAUCGAACUCUUCAUCAUGAGGCCUUUUUAAUUGUUGUUGCUGCCGAACUUUUACCACUGUGUGAAGUUGGUCGGCAAGACUGCGUUGGAUGUCGAGUUGUACAUCAUGUGAAUUGGUUUGGUGUGUCUUCUCAGGAGUUGAGUUGCACGCCGCGUCGUCAUUCCAGUUUA